UGUCGAUAACGUAAAAGUUAAGUCAAAUUUGUAUGGAGGUGGAAUGUUUGCCUAUUUUGCCGCUAGGGGCGCUGUUCGAACUCCAUACAAAUUUGAGUUAACUUUUACGCUAUCGA
rnacentral:pre_miRNA from 9 species